UAUUAGUGUAAAAUUAACUACGUUGAAUAAAAUUCUGGAUAGAAUUAUGAUAAUGACAUUAUCUAUUCAUAAGUCUUGACCAAAUUACGUGCCAGCUGUCGCGGUAAUACGUAGAAGACAAGUGUUAUUCAUCUUUAAUAGGUUUAAAGCGUACUUAGACAGUAAAUAAAGCCUCCAAAAGGGACUAGUUUGCUAGAGUUUUAUAUGAAGGGGUUUUAAAGUACUACUGGUGUAGAGAUGAAAUUCCGUUAUACCUUAAAUGGCACAGGUUAAGGCGAAGGCAUCCUCUUAUGUAAAAACUGACGUUGAAGGACGAAGGCUUUGUGUCUCGAACAGGAUUAGAUACCCUAGUAGUCUAAGCAGAAAAUGAUGAAUGUCAUAGAUUAGAUUUAAUUUGAUCUAUAAAUGAAAGUGUAAGCAUUCCACCUCAAGAGUAAUUUGGCAACAUUGGAACUGAAAUCAUUAGACCGUUUCUGAAACCAGUAGUGAUGUAUGUUGUUUAAUUUGAUAACCCGCAAAAAACCUUACCACGAUUUGAAUAGAUAUAUUUUAUCAUACAAGCGCUGCACGGCUGUCUUCAGUUAAUGUCGUAAGACUUUGGUUAGUUCCUUUAAAUUAACGUAAACCCUUGCUUUAUUUUUAUAUAAAGUAGUUCACCGCUAUAUUGGAUGUGAUAACAGGGAUCAAGACAAGUCAUCAUGGCCUAAAUA
rnacentral:rRNA from 1 species